GAUGAACGCUAGCGGCAGGCCUAACACAUGCAAGUCGAGGGGUAACGGGGUGCUUGCACCGCCGACGACCGGCGCACGGGUGCGUAACGCGUAUGCAAUCUACCUUAUACUGGAGUAUAGCCCAGAGAAAUUUGGAUUAAUCCUUCAUAGUAUGUGAUCAUGGCAUCAUGGACACAUUAAAGGUUACGGUAUAAGAUGAGCAUGCGUCCUAUUAGUUUGUUGGUAAGGUAACGGCUUACCAAGACUACGAUAGGUAGGGGCCCUGAGAGGGGGAUCCCCCACACUGGUACUGAGACACGGACCAGACUCCUACGGGAGGCAGCAGUGAGGAAUAUUGGACAAUGGGCGAGAGCCUGAUCCAGCCAUGCCGCGUGCAGGAAGACGGCCCUAUGGGUUGUAAACUGCUUUUAUACAGGAAGAAACACCCCC
rnacentral:rRNA from 1 species